GACGAACGCUGGCGGCGUGCUUAACACAUGCAAGUCGAACGCUGAAGCUUGGUGCUUGCACUGGGUGGAUGAGUGGCGAACGGGUGAGUAAUACGUGAGUAACCUGCCCUUGACUCUGGGAUAAGCCUGGGAAACUGGGUCUAAUACUGGAUACGACAUGUCACCGCAUGGUGGUGUGUGGAAAGGGUUUUACUGGUUUUGGAUGGGCUCACGGCCUAUCAGCUUGUUGGUGGGGUAAUGGCCCACCAAGGCGACGACGGGUAGCCGGCCUGAGAGGGUGACCGGCCACACUGGGACUGGGACACGGCCCAGACUCCUACGGGAGGCAGCAGUGGGGAAUAUUGCACAAUGGGCGGAAGCCUGAUGCAGCGACGCCGCGUGGGGGAUGACGGCCUUCGGGUUGUAAACCUCUUUCAGCACGGAAGAAGCGAAAGUGACGGUACGUGCAGAAGAAGCGCCGGCUAACUACGUG
rnacentral:rRNA from 1 species